GGUUGUAUGUAUGUGUGUGCGUGUGCACACAUGUCAUAGAUUAAUUACAUACCUCAAGUAUCUUUUAAUUUGUGUUGCCUUUGUACUUUUCAUAUCUUAUAUAUAAAAAUCUAUAAAGAGUGGUAAUUAGAGCGCUUGAGAUAUGCAAUCGAACACAUAGUAUACAUUCCUUCUCUACUUUGUCUUCUCCCUACUUUGUUCUUUUCUUGUUUUUGUAACAAUUGGAUGAUUUUUAUUUUUAGAUUUAUAAUACUUUUGAUGGUACGAAAUUAUUGUUUUACCUUUUUAAAAAUUAACAUCCUUAAUUGGAUAUGUAAUUUUUGUACGAACUAUCCAUUUUUAAAGUUCUAAAUGAUCGAUUUUGGCCAUUUUUUCCUCUUUGUGAGGCGAAUUACAAAACAACCAAAAUUUAUGUUCGAGGAGAAAAGAUCCCAUUUCCGCUUCUUGAUUAUUGUUCUUCCAUCUCUCUCCCACUUUCCCUCUCGAUUUGCUUAUUCUACGUUCAAAAGUUUCAAUGAAGAAUAAGCAAAGUUGGGGAAGAAGAAGAGACUAUAUGAUGCAGUUUUUCGUUCUCUCGAAGCCUCACAAUCAGCUCUAAUAUAUGGCGGCCACCAAGAAUCGAUAAGAACAAGAACAAGAACAAGAAGAAAAAAAUAUAAGCGUAGAAGAAGGAAAAAAAAAAAAGGCCACCUUGAAGAAAGAAUUCCCAUAGGGUGUUUGCAAAAGCCAUGUUCAACCGAAGUCGUAAAUUAGAUUAAAAAAAUUUGUAAAUCUAGAAGAGAAGACCAUCGCACAUGCAUUUUAGUCGAUUGAGUAAUUUCACUCGGGGAUGAAACAAAAAAAAGGUAAAAAAACACACAUUUUGAAAAGGUAAGUCCGAUUUCAUUUUGAUUUUC